ensembl:lncRNA
UUUGAAUAGAAACAACAGGUUUCUGCACCACUCUUACUGCUUCCUGUGUUGACCGAUGUACUGGUGAGAAGGGGUCAAAGGUUGCGCUUCAACACAUAAAAUUAAGGCCGCCCUGGGUCUAGACCAGGGUAGAAGGCUGCCUUAAUAACCUCCCCCGACUCUAAUAUCAGCGAAGGUCACAUAGAGUGUAUGUUGGCAGUAUUAAUAAAUAAAAGCAAAACAAGGUGUAAUGUUUUAAAGCAUGGAAAGAGGAAUGAAGUGGAAUAAACAAAAGGUUAAAUUAAAUUAGAGCUUAUUUAAUGUAUUCAAAUUGAUAAUAGAAGGAUAACAACCUGUAAACUGGUAUUAACAAUGAAAUAUAGUUGGCAGGACGACCGUGCCUAGAAUGGAUAGAAUGCAUGAAACCAGAUAACUCACACAAACACAUAUUAAAUGAAAUAGAGAGAUGCAUAAGGUAUAUUAAGGAAAAUGUCUCCAGCUUGGGAAAGGGUGAGACUGCAGCUCACCCUCAGCCCUUGGUGGACACAAAUAAAAUAUUGUAAUAUACUAUUGCUGUUAUAUAAAAGAUAAUAACAUUAAUAAUGAAAUAAUAUUAAAUAUGAAGAGGCACCUCAGUCAGUUGUGAUGUGAGGUGGAUAAUUGUUAAAAGUAAUCUGUAUCAAGCUUAAGGUUUGCUCAAAUUCAGUAUAAUGACAUAUGAGAUGAAGAAAAUAAAGAAAAUAUGUAAACUAAUUAAGUGCAUAGAGACACUUGACCCGCUUGUAAACCUGUCAUCCUAGAUGAGAUUUUGUUAAGAUGAAGAGCAAACCUAUACUACCAAGCUAAUGAGCAAGAUACACCCUUUUAUUUUGUAUUAAUUUUUUUGUUUUUCAGAGCAGAAGCUGCAUGAUAUUAAAAGCUCACACAUGCAGCAGUCUGUGAUCUCAGUUUUUCUCUCACACUUCUGCUUUGUUUCUGACAGCAGUUCUUUUUCUUUUGUGUCCCAACUCGUGUGUAAGGCCU